rnacentral:rRNA from 1 species
UACGAAUGGGGCAAGCGUUGUUCGGAAUCACUGGGCGUAAAGCGUGCGUAGGCGGUUUUGCAAGUCAGAAGUGAAAGCCCAAGGCUCAACCUUGGAAUUGCUUUUGAAACUGCAUUACUUGAAUCCCGGAGAGGUUAGUAGAAUUCCGAGUGUAGAGGUGAAAUUCGCAGAUAUUCGGAGGAAUACCAGUGGCGUAAGCGGCUAACUGGACGGGCAUUGACGCUGAGGUACGAAAGCGUGGGGAUCAAACAGG